UACGAAGGGUGCAAGCGUUACUCGGAAUUACUGGGCGUAAAGCGUGCGUAGGUGGUUCGUUAAGUCCGAUGUGAAAGCCCUUGGCUCAACCUGGGAAUGGCAUGGGAUACUGGCGGGCUAGAGUGCGGUAGAGGGUGGCGGAAUUCCCGGUGUAGCAGUGAAAUGCGUAGAUAUUGGGAGGAACACCGGUGGCGAAGGCGACCGCCUGGACGAUGACUGACGCUGAGGCGCGAGAGCGUGGGGAGCAAACAGG
rnacentral:rRNA from 1 species